UACGUAGGGUGCGAGCGUUAAUCGGAAUUACUGGGCGUAAAGCGUGCGCAGGCGGUUUGUUAAGACCGAUGUGAAAUCCCCGGGCUUAACCUGGGAACUGCAUUGGUGACUGGCGGGCUGGAGUAUGGCAGAGGGGGGUAGAAUUCCACGUGUAGCAGUGAAAUGCGUAGAGAUGUGGAGGAAUACCGAUGGCGAAGGCAGCCCCCUGGGCCAAUACUGACGCUCAUGCACGAAAGCGUGGGGAGCAAACAGG
rnacentral:rRNA from 1 species